GGUCCUGUCCCAGCUCUAGCCCCCUGUAUAGAGGUCCUAUCCUAAUACAGAGGUCCUAUCCUAAUACAGAGGUCCUGUCCCAGCUCUAUCCCCCCUGUAUAGAGGUCCUAUCCUAAUACAGAGGUCCUAUCCCAAUACAGAGGUCCUAUCCUAAUACAGAGGUCCUGUCUCAGCUCUAUCCCCCCUGUAUAGAGGUCCUAUCCUAAUACAGAGGUCCUAUCCUAAUACAGAGGUCCUGUCCCAGCUCUAUCCCCCCUGUAUAGAGGUCCUAUCCUAAUACAGAGGUCCUAUCCUAAUACAGAGGUCCUGUCCCAGCUCUAGCUCCCUGUAUAGAGGGCCCUCUCCUGCCAGGACACCUGAAUGCAGGGCUCGCCCUGUCUGCCCCGGGGCCGCCGGCUGAGGCUGUCACUGCAGUGCUGGAUCUAGGGGGAGCCGCUCCGGCUUGUCCCAGCUCCCAGUCCCGGCCUCUCACACUCCGCUCCGGCCGCUCCGACUCCAGUCCUGCUCUGAGCGGCGCCCAGCCGCUGUCCGAGGUGCUG
rnacentral:lncRNA from 1 species